rnacentral:lncRNA from 1 species
UGGAUCCAUGCAGCGAUCUUGUCCUGGUGCUGUGGAAUCAGCUUUGCACCAGGCCCCAGAAGGUCUGCGUUCCAGAGCCUUCCUGUUGGGGCCUCAGUCUUCUCAUCUGAAAAAUGGGAGCAAACUCAGUUCUGCCAUGCCCAGUGUGGGUGUGAUGUCACAUCAGGAUUGCUGUGAGGAUGAAGUGAUUUGAUUCAUACAUAGCACUGAGAGCAGAAGCUGACCUCAUAAGCACCAAAUCCACGGGCUUGUUUGUUUGUUUGUUGUUUGUUUUAAGAUGGAGUCUCGCUCUGUCACCCAGGCUGAAGUGCAAUGGCAAGAUCUCAGCUCACUGCAACCUCCACCUCCCAGUUUCAAGCGAUUCUUGUGUCUCCGCCUCUGGAGUAGCUGGGAUUACAAGUGCCCACCACCACACCUGGCUGAUUUUUGUAUUUUUAGUAGAGACGGGGUUUCACCAUGUUGGUCAGGCUGGUCUCGAACUCCUGACCUCAAGUGAUCUGCCUGCCUUGGCCUCUCAAAGUGCUGGGAUUACAGGCCUGAGCCACUGUGCCCGACCACCAUGUUGUAUUGUUACUGUUACUGCUCUCCUGUCCUGCACCUGCCCCGCCUGCCUCCCUUGGCUGGGCUGUAAAACCUUGAGGGGUAACGUAUCUUAUUCAUGUUUCUUGUCCUGGUACCAGCACAGCAACUGACAUGGAUGGGGGGUUUGGGGCUCAGAAAGCGUUGCCCUAAAAUAUGGCGCUCUGACAUGAAGCAGCCUCAAGGUCUAUCUGACCUCCCUGCCUCCUUCUCUGAAUCCUCUGUCUCUCUCAAAGUGCAGGAUGACGCUGUUCUCUGAAGUUUCUUUAUCUGCCUAGAAACGGGACCUGCCAAAGGGGAACACAAUUACCUUCCCUGGAAUAUCAUUAGCUAGAGGUUAAAACUCAUAUCCCAGAGGAUAUGAGACUGAACAUUAAACACCACACCUACAGCCAGAUAAACUUCAUCCCAAACCAUUAUCUGCUCUCUUUCCCUUUCAAUGUCCAAAGACAUUAUUAAUUAUCAUCUGGACGCUGGACUCAUUCAUUUCCCCCCUAAGAACCAUUGACUGUCCUUCAAAUUGCCACGUGUCCCCCAUCUCUCCUUCCCCCGUGAAGAAGGGCGCAUGCACCUGUACCC